rnacentral:rRNA from 1 species
CCCUUAGAUGUUCUGGGCCGCACACGCGCUACAAUGGUGAAUUCAACAAGUCAACCAAAGCCGAUAGGUGGAGGUAAACUCGUAGUAUUCGCCGUGAUGGGGAUAGACCCUUGUAAUUAUUGGUCUCCAACGAGGAAUUCCUAGUAGACGCAAGUCAUCAACUUGCAUUGAUUACGUCCCUGCCCUUUGUACACACCGCCCGUCGCACCUACCGAUUGAAUGGUCCGGUGAAGCCUCCGGAUUGGCGCGCACCUCGGUGCCGCCGAGAAGUUGGCUAAACCUUACCAUUUAGAGGAAGGUGAAGUCGUAACA